UACGAAGGGGGCUAGCGUUGUUCGGAAUCACUGGGCGUAAAGCGCACGUAGGCGGAUGUGUCAGUCAGGGGUGAAAUCCCGGAGCUCAACUUCGGAACUGCCUCUGAUACAGCACGUCUUGAGUCCGAUAGAGGUGGGUGGAAUUCCUAGUGUAGAGGUGAAAUUCGUAGAUAUUAGGAAGAACACCGGUGGCGAAGGCGGCCCACUGGAUCGGUACUGACGCUGAGGUGCGAAAGCGUGGGGAGCAAACAGG
rnacentral:rRNA from 1 species